rnacentral:rRNA from 1 species
AACGAACGCUGGCGGCAGGCUUAACACAUGCAAGUCGAGCGCCCCGCAAGGGGAGCGGCAGACGGGUGAGUAACGCGUGGGAAUCUACCCAUCUCUACGGAAUAACGCAUGGAAACGUGUGCUAAUACCGUAUACGUCCUUCGGGAGAAAGAUUUAUCGGAGAUGGAUGGGCCCGCGUUGGAUUAGCUAGUUGGUGGGGUAAAGGCCUACCAAGGCGACGAUCCAUAGCUGGUCUGAGAGGGUGAUCAGCCACACUGGGACUGAGACACGGCCCAGACUCCUACGGGAGGCAGCAGUGGGGAAUAUUGGACAAGGGGCGCAAGCCUGAUCCAGCCAUGCCGCGUGAGUGAUGAAGGCCCUAGGGUUGUAAAGCUCUUUCACCGGUGAAGAUAAUGACGGUAACCGGAGAAGAAGCCCCGGCUAACUUCGUGCCAGCCGCCGCCGUAAUAC